GGUAAAUCAUACAACAGUGUUCAAACUUCUGGAUGUGAAGCUGAGCCUAUGAACCUUUCAAGGAUUGUAUUGUGAGCACAAGAAUAAGGUAUGACAGACAGAAACUGAUUUUAAAAGAAAUUCACAAUUGUCAGUGUGUCACAUGCAUGAAUCCCACUGCAGGAAGUUUUUCAGUAAAUCAGCGUCUUUGGGUAGGUGCACCAAAUGCUGUAUUUUAACAAAAUGUUUUUGCUCAUAGAAAUGCUCAAGCUCUUAAUUUAAAGAGAAUGAACAUCCUAACAUUUUGUUACAGCCCUGUGCAGUAGACAGAUGGUGCUCUGUCUCACAUGGUGCGGAAGACAUGGAACAGCACAGUUGAAACAACUUGGUUCCCUUGAUACUAUUUCUGACAGAAUCAUGCACAGAUUCUCCAACAGAGCCACACAUC
rnacentral:lncRNA from 1 species